rnacentral:rRNA from 1 species
UUCAGGCCUAACACAUGCAAGUCGAACGAGAAAGUGGAGCUUGCUUCACGAGUACAGUGGCAGACGGGUGAGUAACACGUGAACAACCUACCCUCGAGUGGGGAAUAACACCGCGAAAGCGGUGCUAAUACCGCAUAAUAUCUCUGAACCGCAUGGUUUUGAGAUCAAAAGCGCAAGUUGCUUGAGGAGGGGUUCGCGCCUGAUUAGCUUGUUGGUGAGGUAACGGCUCACCAAGGCUGCGAUCAGUAGCCGGCCUGAGAGGGUGAACGGCCACACUGGAACUGAGACACGGUCCAGACUCCUACGGGAGGCAGCAGUGGGGAAUUUUGCGCAAUGGGCGAAAGCCUGACGCAGCAACGCCGCGUGGAGGAUGAAGGCCCUCGGGUCGUAAACUCCUGUCAGUGGGGACGAAUGCUUCGUAAGAAGUUUGACUGUACCCAUUGAGGAAGCCACGGCUAACUCCGUGCCAGCAGCCGCGGUAAUACGGAGGUGGCAAGCGUUGUUCGGAAUUACUGGGCGUAAAGGGCGCGUAGGCUGUUUUACAAGUCAGAUGUGAAAUCCCCGAGCUUAACUUGGGAAUUGCAUCUGAAACUGUUGAACUUGAGUCCUGGAGGGGGUAGCGGAAUUCCCAGUGUAGCGGUGAAAUGCGUAGAUAUUGGGAGGAACACCUGCGGCGAAGGCGGCUACCUGGACAGUGACUGACGCUGAGGCGCGAAAGCUAGGGGAGCGAACGGGAUUAGAUACCCCGGUAGUCCUAGCCGUAAACGAUGGGCACUUGGUGUUGGGGGUAUUGAGUCCCUCGGUGCCGGAGUUAACACGUUAAGUGCCCCGCCUGGGGAGUACGGUCGCAAGACUGAAACUCAAAGGAAUUGACGGGGGCCCGCACAAGCGGUGGAGCAUGUGGUUCAAUUCGACGCAACGCGAAGAACCUUACCAGGGCUUGAACUGUAACUGCUACUCGUAGAAAC